GUAAUUGUGGCAUAGUGGUUUGAGUGUUGGACUGCGACUCUGGAAGCCAGGGUUCGAAACCCUGUGAAAUGCA